AAAACAGUGUCCGAUUUUUCCUCAAGAAAUGUGGAUUGAACUAAAAUUCGUCCUUCCCUCUAAGAAGACAGAAGUUUCUCGUUCAAGGGAGCUCAUCAGGACUUGUGGGAAGAGUGGAAUUGGGUGGGAAUCAGGAUAUCUGGGCAGGUUCCAGAUGAUGGGUAACUCUGGGACCUAGGGCUCCUGCCACAGGAGCAGGAGGGGGACCAGGGAGCAUGCAGGUCAUGGUGGUGGGCACUGUCUGCCCAACCUGCUGCUGGGUGAGCAGGAUUGGGGGUGCACCCUAGGUGUCACCCCACUUUCUGGUGAUACACACCCCUAACCCCAAUGACAUGAGAUGAUGGGAUCCAAGGCAGAUUUAUUGCCAUUCUUCCUUUUUUCAUGGGUCCAGUUUUAAUUGGCAUCCAUGCAGAAAAGCCUUUGGCUCCUGGGUCGUGAGUACCAUUGUUAAUAAAGGGGUGAGUAGCUUGCCGCAGCACCAUUGCAUAUUUCUAUAUUAUAAAUGCCAUCAAUUCCCCCAGUAUGAUGUCUCAGCCGCUUAAAAUGCAGAGGCUCGCCUUCUGUGAACUUGGGCUGUGAUGGGCUAGUUAGCCCUGGAAGGAGCAGUGCCAUGGUCUUAUCAGGAAACCUGUACCCUGGGUCCUGGCUCUCCACUGCCCUAUUCCCCUCAUGUCCUUAUACAUGUCACUCAUGGGGUCUAUCUUGAGGAUGCUGAUUCCAUGGGGUGGGUGAAAGGGACUCAGGAAGUUCUUUCUGCUUUUAGGUAUCUCCCAGUUUGAGAAUCUGUCAGUUUGAGAUCCCAUUGUUUAGACUGUCUCAGGCAAUACAGCAAUAUCCAGAGGUGAAAAUUUUGGAUUAUGAGAGCUGUGAUCUCAUCAGUGGAUGAAUCCAUUUGAAGGAUUAAUGAUUUGGAUGGACUACUGGUUGAUAACUAUAGGCAAGUGGGGCAUGGCUGGAGGAAGUAAGUCACUGGAGAUGUGCUUUUAGGGACUGUCUCUUGUCCCUGGCUCCUCUCCUUUUUCUCUCUCUGCUUCCUGGUUGCCAUGAGAUGUGCAGCUUUCUUCUGCCAUGUCCUUCUGCCAUGAUGGUUCUGCCUUGGAGCCAACUGACCAUGGACUGAACUUCUGAAACCCUGAACCAAAAUAACUUUCUUCUCUAAAUUUUUCUUGUCAGGUAUUUUGGUAACAGCAUUGAAGAUCUGACUAGCACAAAGACCAGUUAAUUUGAGUCCUGAAGUUAUUCCAACCUGCUGUAUUUUUACAUUAAAAGGCAAAUAUCUUAGGAACAUCAGAGGACAUUAAUUUACUUAACAUAUUUACUGAGCACCUAUUAUGCUUCAGGAGGUGGGAACAUGGCAGUGAACAAACAAAAUCCCUGCCCUCAUGCAGCUUCAAAUUGAGGAAGUUAAACAAUGAACAAAUAAAUAUGUAAAAUGUGCAGUGUGUCAGAUGGCAUAAAUACUAUGUGAAAUAAAGACUAUGGGAGGAGGUUGGGGAGUGUAGUAGUGGGAGGAUUUAUGGAAUUGUUUACAGCUAGAGAAGUUGGUCAAGAACAGAUCCUUGGAAGAUUCUUUCUGGGGCCAAACAGAUGACUUGGAGAGGGUAGAUUUAAGGCUACCUCUCCAUAUAUGGUGGCUUCCUCUUUCCUUGGGCAGGUGCCAGGGGAAAAGAGAUCUCAGGAAGAAAUCUUAUUUCUUUCCAGCCACUUUUGUUUCCUUGUGAAGCUGAGUGAUGGUUGGGGCUGUCACAUCUCUUGGCCUCUUAUCAGCUCCAAGUUUAUGAAAAACCAUCACAUGUUCCUCACUUCUGUGUGUUCCUGGGGAUUCUUACUGUCCUGUUUCAGGUUCCUGGGCUUGACUUUGAGCAGACUGUGUGUGGCCACUGUUGGUUCUGAUAUGAAAGUCAUUGCCUCUUCAGAGAGCCCUAAAAAUACCAUCCCCCAGAAAACAUUAACGAAUGUAUUAGUUUUCCAGGGCUGCCAUAACAGAGUGCCACAAAAUGGAUGACUUCACAGCAGAAAUUCAUUUCUCACAGUUUGGAGACUGGAAGUUCAAGGUCAAGAACUCGUGGUUGCAAUGUGCCUGAUCAUCUGACGCUUCCUGCUCUUGAAUGACCUCUUCUCAGCCUCCAAGAAUGUCCAAGUCUUCAUCCAACAACUUUGCUGGGCUAAUGUGCCAAGGGAGCUUCAGGCACCCAGGAAGGAUCUGGGGCGCUCCAGGGUCAUUCUUGACAAGUGAGGGCUGAGGACUCUCCUGUGUACCAGACUCUCCACUCAUGAAGCCAUGAAGGUGACAGUGGUG